rnacentral:rRNA from 1 species
UCAAGCAAAUAAUCAAAUCUAUCAACAACGGAUCUGUUGGUUCAAAAACAGAUGAAGAACGCAGCGAAAUGCGAUAAGUAGUGUGAAUUCCAGGAUUCAGUGAAUCAUCGAAUCUUUGAACGCACAUUGCGCCCCUUGGUAUCCCGAGGGGCAUGCCUGUUCGAGCGUCAUUUCACCCCUCAAGCCUGGCUUGGUGUUGGGCGACGUCCCCUUUAGGGACGCGCCUCGAAACGCUCGGCGGCGUGGCACCGGCUUUAAGCGUAGCAGAAUCUUAUCUUUCGCUUUGAAAGUCGGGGCCACGUCUGCCGGAAGACCUACUCGCAAGGUUGACCUCGGAUCAGGCAGGGAUACCCGCUGAACUUAAGCAUAUCAAUAAGCGGAGGAAAUCUCU